GACAGAGGGUGCAAACGUUGUUCGGAAUUACUGGGCGUAAAGCGCGUGUAGGCGGCCAUCUAAGUCGGGCGUGAAAUCCCACGGCUCAACCGUGGAAGUGCACUCGAAACUGGAUGGCUAGAGUCCUGGAGAGGAAGGUGGAAUGCUUGGUGUAGAGGUGAAAUUCGUAGAGAUUAGGAAGAACACCAGUGGCGAAGGCGACUUACUGGACUGUAACUGACGCUGAGGCAUGAAAGCGUGGGGAGCAAACAGG
rnacentral:rRNA from 1 species